CCUGCCGGCGGCCUGUAUUAGCCUUCCCGUCGGUGCUCUCUAAAUAUCUACUACCUCUGCAAUCCUCGAUGAUCCCGGCGGACGCGCCGCGCCGCCCUGCAGCCUCGUCUUCGUCUACGCCGGCGUUGCCGCCGAGCUCGAUGCCGUCCCUGACGCUGCGCGCGGCGUUCACCCGAUGUGCCUCUCGUGCUUCUUCCCCUUCACCCAGUCGCCGGCGCCGAGGUCACCCUCGCGGCGCGGAGCUCCUUCGCCUGCCGAUGAGGACAACGGCCAACACUGGCCAUUUUUCCUCCUCUCCAUGAGAUGUAGUGCCCCUCCUCGAUGGCGCAGGGCCCGUCCCCUCGCCUCCUUCUCCUCCUCUCCUACUCCGCCCCUCCUGGCCCGUCAACCUCCAUUCCCCCUAUCCUUGCCUCUCUGCCUGAUCCCUUCCCGGCCAGCGCGGCCACCUCUGCAUGUGAGCUCCGCGAGAAGCCCUCAGCUGGAGCCCAACGACCGACGCCUAGACGCGGCUGGGCGGUCGGCCUUAUUGUGGUCGAUAUCCCCGUCGAGCAUCUCGCGCGCCGGGGGCCAGCGGCGCGUGCACACGCAUCGCCAUGUAGCUCGCCAUGGCACGGCUCGAGUAGGAGCUCCGUCACCUCAUCAGUCAUGUGAUCAUUGCCAAGCUCUUGUCAUGCGUGUUGUAUUUGUUAUUUAAAGGGAUUCAUUUUAGGAAUUGCAAGCUCCAGACAGUGCAUAUCAUUGAUGUCAUGUAGAAAUCUCAAGAAGCUCAAGCUGAUUGAUUUGCAGGUUCGCAACUGGCUCCAUAUUUAUUUGUAGUAAGCAGUGUCCCUUUUUUAUGCAUAGCAUUGGACUCCAAUUUAUAAAGUUUGGUCCCACGUGGUGUUUAGGCAGAUUUACUCUCUCAGCAGAAGAUCUACUAGGCCUGAUGGCAUUGUUAUUUUUCCAAUGCAUUGACCAUGUAUUGGCUAGGAGAGAAAGGGAAUUGGCAACAAAAAAAAAUGGAACUGCUUCCAAGUGGAAAUUGACUUUUUAGAAGUGCUACUAUAAUUAGAAACCAUCCAUAUGCUGAGGUAUCCAAGGUCCAUCCUUUAAUACACUUGACUCGAGUACGAUCACGGCAAAUGCAUUCAUAGAUUACUGCAAGGAAGUGACCUUGUUCUUUUCCUGAUAGUUAUUUUUUCCAAGAUGUGCCACUGAUGGCACAUAAAUAAGUAAAUUAUUUUCCUGCAAUACAUGUAAGGAUCUGGUAAUUCAAAGCUACUACCCCUUAUUAAGAGUCUCAGUUAAAGUCUGGGGUUUAACAUUUGUAAAUUUAUGCCAGGGUUUAACAUGCUUAAUAUUUGUAAAUAUUACAUUGACAUAAUUCAGAAUUCAAGAGUUCAAAUGUAAAUUAGCAAUGAGUUGUAAACUUUAUGUAUGAUUUAAUCAAGCUGUUAUGAAUUUAAUUCCAUCUCUUUUGUCAGCUUUGGAUUAGCCCUAGAAGUCGAGCUGCUGAUGAGAAAAAAUAUUUUGACAGCCAUGUUGCACCAUUUUUUAGGAUUGAUCAGGUAUUUUCAACUCUUGUAACUUUAUUUGUGUCCAAUAAAGUGAGUGCCUAUUAUAAAUUGUAUUUGCUUAUUUCCUGCCAUGUAGAACAGCUCUUUUUCUGCGAUUGUCUUAACUCUGUCUUAUUUGUCCAAUUGCCCUAUUUUCCAUCGAAGAUGAAUAUUCUGAAAAGGCCAUUAUGUCGUCAAUUGAUGUUCUUAAUACAGCUUAUGUUAGCGACUUCUGCAUCUGAUGGGUUUGCAGCUUCUUCGAUAGUAAAUGAUAGCAAUAUGAAUUACUAUUCCAGAUCCAGAAAAGCUAGGAAUUUUGCAUGAUAACGUGAAUUUUGGGACUGCAUGCCAUAUGGUUCUCAUGUUUAUUGUAAUUGUAAAGAUUGACGAUCUACGUGCAAAUUAUUCUGCGUCAACAUGGCCCUUGCUGAUAUUUGCUUAGUCACUCAGUACAGACUGCCACUCAAAAUGUUUUGCAGGUGAUAGUCUACAGUACCUACAGUAUAUUUUCUGCACUACAAUUAGCUUGGUUUCUCAAGAAUAUAUUCCUGUGUUGUCUAAUAUGGUUUGUACAAACCACUGUACAAGUGCUUGUUUCAAUGCUUAAUGCUGCAGUAUUUCCAGCUGGAUCCUAAAAAAAUAUGAUGGUUCGGGGGUGGACCAUGCUAAAUUUUUUUUAGGUAAGUAUCUAAUGUUGAAGUGUCCUAUCAAUCCAUGCUUUCAGAUAAUUUUUUAGCAGCUUCACCAAAAUUGAAAAUUGAAUUGAAUUUGAAUAUUCUACUUAUCAGAGCAUGGAUUCUAUAAUGCAUGACUAUAUUUAACUUGGUACUUAAGUUGUACUAUUCACAAAGGCACAUGCAGUAUAUCACAAUGAAUACUGAUUAUCAUGAUACUUAUUGGGUUUUCGAGUUGGUUGCCACGAUUAUGUCUAAAUACUUAUCUUCUAUAUUUCAGCAUCACAGACCCCGCAUAGUGCGGGAAGCCUACGGCACUAGGUGGCUUUCAAGGAAACAAUUUUACCGAGGUAAUGUUUUACUACACCUUGCGAUGAGAACCUAGAUAAUGAAAAGUCAUAAUGAGCUAAUCAUAAGAAAUGGGCAAACCAUCGUGAAGCUGAGUGAUUCUUUAUUCACUAUUGUCCGAGUAGACAACAUGCCUGCAUUCCUCAGGCCUGCUUCUCUCCAAAGUGCUCUCUCUUAUGCAUGUUGCUGUGACUCAUAAACAACAUUUUUCUCUCUUAAAUCUGAGGCAUUUGAGCCCCUGCAGUUCUCUGGUGCCACAAAUAUUUCAACUUGAUGCCCAAGUAUGCUCCUUGAUUGAUGAAAGGCUUAUCUGGUUAGAGUUGAAGUCCAUAGUAUCAAUUUUCUUAGUCACAUUUGGUGUUUCUGCAUUAUUGUGCAUAGUGUAUAUUCUCAACAAUCAUCAUUUAAUUUUAAUUGUCUACCUUAUGGGAUGAACAGGUGUACUAUGAAACAGUCGAGCCCACAAUUCCAAUUAUAUUUCAGAGAACGAAAGCAAUAUGUUUUGCUUAUGGUCAAACCGGCUAGUUCUUACAGGCUUAAAUCAAGCUUAUCUUAUACAUUAUAUUUUUACGCAUAAGUGAAUUGUGGUUUCCGAUAAUUUCUGCUGAUCAUGGCAAUAUCAUAUUGCAACCUUUUUUCCUGUCGUUAGUUUACUGCAAUUUAUCAACUCCUUCCUAAAAGGUUGGAUAAUCAUAUGUCCAUUGAAAAUGCUACCAGUAUUAUUGUUACAUUUGCCAAAUAUAAUCAACCUUUUCUACGUGCCAAUUACAAAGGUUAACAAAUAUUAACUGACUUAUGAUCAUAGUUUUUUAAGACCAUUUAUGAUCACAGUUAGAGUCAUUCGCUUUUUAUCUUCCCAUUUGCAAAAUAUUCAAACUGUAAUUGUGGGGAUAAUAUAUCACCAUAGAUGCAGUUUGUGAAGCAUGUUUCAACAAUGCUCUUCUAACGACACUAUGCUACAAGAUAAGUGGAUCUUCACCAAACAACCAAGAAGCUUGGUCCCUUUUCUUUGUAAUACCUGAAGCGUCAUCGAAUGAUCAUGGCAAUGAAAAUGGAAUGACAAGGGACUCAUGGGAGCAAAUGCAUACAUGGCUCGAUUUGAGAAAUUGUUGCACCUCUCAAGUCUACAGAUAUGACUUUGUAGAGCUAAUGAUAUUAUGAUUAUAUUACUAAAAUAACCGCUUGUGUCUAGGAGAACACAUCCAGUGCAUCCUUUGCGGCAAUUGAAGAUUGCAUCCCCUUUGUAGCAUAGUUACGCCAGGAGCAAGACAAUGUUUAGGACCAAUUAUUAUGUAACUAUAUAUUGAUCAGCAAUAAAAUAUUUUGCUGGAAUUUAGAUUUGUAGCGGAAAGGAGCGAAUGCUACCCGUUACAACAUUGUGUAUAUAUAGACCUCCACAAAAGUCCAUACUGUUGUAGAUUAAGAUGUUUAUUAUACAUAAAUGCUCCUAAUAUUUGCAUA